UACCAGCUCUCCGAGUGGUGUGGAUGUUUAUUGGGCCUAAAGCAUCCGUAGCUGGCUAAGUUAGUCCCCUGUUAAAUCCAACGAAUUAAUCGUUGGAUCGCGGGGGAUACUGCUUGGCUAGGGGACGAGAGAGGCAGACGGUAUUUCCGGGGUAGGGGUGAAAUCUUAUAAUCCCGGGAAGACCACCAGUGGCGAAGGCUGUCUGCUAGAACGCGCCCGACGGUAAGGGAUGAAAGCUGGGGGAGCGAACCGA
rnacentral:rRNA from 1 species